UUCGUUGGUGACUCCCUCCCCCAUACCCUUUCCCUUUCCUCCCUUGCAAGUGUUCCCUUCCCUUAGCAAGCUGAGGGCAGCAGGGGCCUGCAGGGGUCCCGGAGGAGCCCCCGGGGCGAGGGCGGACCUACCUGAGCGCCGGGUACUGAAGUCCAGCCGCAGUCACGUAAUAAUCGGGUAUCAGAAAAGACGUCACCACCCCAAUUCCUCAAGGAACACAGUUCUGUGUCGUCCUCGAAGAUGAGCUUAUCAGGAGUCAUAAAGCUUCUCAUAAACACCAACUCAUGCUUCCCCCCAAAAAUAAAAAAGUAAUAAUAAUAAUAAAAAACAAUAAAAACCCAAGCAAUCCCACAAGCUUAAAA